AGAGUUUGAUCCUGGCUCAGGAUGAACGCUGGCGGCGUGCCUAAUACAUGCAAGUCGAACGAGUUCUCGUUGAUGAUCGGUGCUUGCACCGAGAUUCAACAUGGAACGAGUGGCGGACGGGUGAGUAACACGUGGGUAACCUGCCCUUAAGUGGGGGAUAACAUUUGGAAACAGAUGCUAAUACCGCAUAGAUCCAAGAACCGCAUGGUUCUUGGCUGAAAGAUGGCGUAAGCUAUCGCUUUUGGAUGGACCCGCGGCGUAUUAGCUAGUUGGUGAGGUAAUGGCUCACCAAGGCGAUGAUACGUAGCCGAACUGAGAGGUUGAUCGGCCACAUUGGGACUGAGACACGGCCCAAACUCCUACGGGAGGCAGCAGUAGGGAAUCUUCCACAAUGGACGCAAGUCUGAUGGAGCAACGCCGCGUGAGUGAAGAAGGCUUUCGGGUCGUAAAACUCUGUUGUUGGAGAAGAAUGGUCGGCAGAGUAACUGUUGUCGGCGUGACGGUAUCCAACCAGAAAGCCACGGCUAACUACGUGCCAGCAGCCGCGGUAAUACGUAGGUGGCAAGCGUUAUCCGGAUUUAUUGGGCGUAAAGCGAGCGCAGGCGGUUUUUUAAGUCUGAUGUGAAAGCCCUCGGCUUAACCGAGGAAGCGCAUCGGAAACUGGGAAACUUGAGUGCAGAAGAGGACAGUGGAACUCCAUGUGUAGCGGUGAAAUGCGUAGAUAUAUGGAAGAACACCAGUGGCGAAAGCGGCUGUCUGGUCUGUAACUGACGCUGAGGCUCGAAAGCAUGGGUAGCGAACAGGAUUAGAUACCCUGGUAGUCCAUGCCGUAAACGAUGAAUGCUAGGUGUUGGAGGGUUUCCGCCCUUCAGUGCCGCAGCUAACGCAUUAAGCAUUCCGCCUGGGGAGUACGACCGC
rnacentral:rRNA from 2 species